GGGGAGGUGGCAGAGCGGUCGAAUGCGGCGGUCUUGAAAACCGUUGAUGGUGAGAGCCAUCCCAGGGUUCGAAUCCCUGUCUCCCCGCCA
rnacentral:tRNA from 2 species